GUCUGAGAGGACGAUCAGCCACACUGGAACUGAGACACGGUCCAGACUCCUACGGGAGGCAGCAGUGGGGAAUUUUGGACAAUGGGCGCAAGCCUGAUCCAGCCAUGCCGCGUGAGUGAAGAAGGCCUUCGGGUUGUAAAGCUCUUUCGGUGAAGACGAAACGGUUAGCGCUAAUAACGCUGACUAAUGACGGUACUCACAGAAGAAGCACCGGCUAACUACGUGCCAGCAGCCGCGGUAAUACGUAGGGUGCAGGCGUUAAUCGGAAUUACUGGGCGUAAAGCGUGCGCAGGCGGUUUGCUAAGACAGGUGUGAAAUCCCCGAGCUUAACUUGGGAAUUGCGCUUGUAACUGGCAAGCUAGAGUGUGGCAGAGGGGGGUGGAAUUCCACGUGUAGCAGUGAAAUGCGUAGAUAUGUGGAGGAACACCGAUGGCGAAGGCAGCCCCCUGGGUUAACACUGACGCUCAUGCACGAAAGCGUGGGGAGCAAACAGGAUUAGAUACCCUGGUAGUCCACGCCCUAAACUAUGUCAACUAGUUGUCGGGGAAGAAAUUCCUUGGUAACGAAGCUAACGCGUGAAGUUGACCGCCUGGGGAGUACGGCCGCAAGGUUAAAACUCAAAGGAAUUGACGGGGACCCGCACAAGCGGUGGAUUAUGUGGAUUAAUUCGAUGCAACGCGAAAAACCUUACCUACCCUUGACAUGCUAGGAAGCCCGCAGAGAUGUGGGUGUGCCCGAAAGGGAACCUAGACACAGGUGCUGCAUGGCUGUCGUCAGCUCGUGUCGUGAGAUGUUGGGUUAAGUCCCGCAACGAGCGCAACCCUUGCCAUUAGUUGCUACGUUUAGUUGGGCACUCUAAUGGGACCGCCGGUGACAAACCGGAGGAAGGUGGGGAUGACGUCAAGUCCUCAUGGCCCUUAUGGGUAGGGCUUCACACGUAAUACAAUGGUCGGUACAGAGGGCUGCCAACCCGCAAGGGGGAGCUAAUCCCAGAAAGCCGAUCGUAGUCCGGAUUGUAGUCUGCAACUCGACUGCAUGAAGCCGGAAUCGCUAGUAAUCGCGGAUCAGCAUGUCGCGGUGAAUACGUUCCCGGGUCUUGUACACACCGCCCGUCACACCAUGGGAGUGGGUUCCACCAGAAGUAGUUAGCCUAACCGCAAGGAGGGCGAUUACCACAGUGAGAUUCAUGACUGGGGUGAAGUCGUAACAAGGUA
rnacentral:rRNA from 1 species